CCUGCGAGAAGGAUCAUUA
rnacentral:rRNA from 1 species